GUAUAUGUGGAACGAUGGAAUGAAACAUAUCGAUAUAUCGAUAAGUGUUAUUAGGAUUCUAAGCAUAUAAGCACGAAAAACAAAUGUGCGCAAAAAUUGUUAGUUAAUGUUAGCAAAGCUUGGGCUGGUGGGCCCAUGAGGUUGUGCGGUUCUCCUUGUUGUGUCAUCUAAAAUGGAAAAUCGAAGCAGCAUGCGCUUCAUGCACUCGGAGGAGGAGGAAGACGAGGACCAAAUGAAAAGAAUAUCCAUGUGUUUUAGUAUGGAAAUCUCGGAGGUUGUACAAAAUCGUAACAAUAAUUUUGACAAGGUCGUUACACCAGAUCAAAAUAAUUGCAUUCUAGGGCGAAACCCAGGCGGAGGUCUAUUUGGAGCUGUAGAAGAUAAAUACAAUAAGGAUAGUUCGAUGUCUUUUGCGGUGCCAAACAAAUUUUUUGCCGAAAGUCGUAGUUUUGUGAGUGGGUUGGACCAAUAUUGUAGACGGUCAAAUUCAACACGUAGGAGGUCGAUUACGAGCUUGGAUCACCUUAGCUAUAAACAAAAGACCAAAAGUCUAAGGGAACCCUAUAAGCCUGAGCGUUGUCCAAAGUACAAUAAUAAACGGACAAGUCAAUUACCGCACAGGCGAAACCUCAUGGAGUCUUACGAAUGCCCAAGCCGAUUAAACUUGAACUCGUACGAAAGAAAUUAUAAUCCUCUAAUUUAUAAGCAAUACAAUGAACGGACUCACAGAAAACCUAAACGGGAGCUAUUAGAAGAAACGUUAAAGGACCCAUUCCCCGAAUUUGGCUAUAAUAGAGAGCGCUCUCGCGAAAGGGAUCAUUCAAAGAAGGUGCGACACGAAAAGUACUAUGAAGGAAACAAUAACUUUUAUAAUGCUUUUUAUAACUGUGACUUCCCGACGAAGGUGACUGAUAAAUCAUACAGAUUAAAUCCCUCUGGGCGUAUUGAGUAUACUCAUAAUAAGCUAUUAAACAAAGCUCCUUACAAAGAAAAGAGGCAAGCUUCUGGUUAUACAGAUCCUUAUUAUAUGCCAGCUUGUAAUGAAUACAACUAUUAUAACCCCGAGGCAAUGUAUUCGCCAGUACAGUACGGUUCUGGGUGGGACUAUUACAAUACGGCAAUUCCAAGGGCUGGAAAUUACUAUUACCCAAAGCCCAAUAGAUGUAAUGAUUACGAUUAUGAUUAUUAUGAAGAUCCUGAGAUGUAUAGAUGUCCACCCGCUCGAACGAAAUCUGUUGACUUUUUCGCUAAGGAUUGUGAGAUACCAUAUAACAUAUUAAAAAAAGCAAGAAAAUGUUCAGCAAUGCCCAAACAAAGAUAUUGUUAUCCAGAAUACGAAUCAUGCUCUCGUGCUUCGGCUGUUGAAAUCCCCUAUAAGAGAAUGAAGCGAAAAUAUAUCUCAAACUGUGAAUUUGAGCCGGAGCUGAACCGCUCAGACUCGGGUUGUGAUAUCUAUAGCAUGAACUACCCACAAAGGCCGGUCAAAACAUACAUUGAGCCUUGGCCUCCAAGUAGCUGUCAGAAGUCAUGUCAUGGCUAUAAUCCUUUAACGCGGCCCAGUCAUUCACAGUUUUGUGACGUGCCUCGAAAAUGCAACCAGAAGUCGCUUAAGCAAAAGGUCUCUGGAUUUUUCAAACGGUCCAAAUGCAAGUCUCGUCUAAAAUGCUGCCGGAGGUACAAUCCGCGAUACGGUUGCAUGGGUGAGGCUUCAGUCUGCAAUCUGAACAGUAUGCAUAGCAAACCCUGCGUUGAUUGCUGCAACUCUUUCAGCAGCAUAUCAUGUGGUGUAAGGAGUGGGCGGUAUCCAAACUGCCCCAGAAAACCCAGCUGUUGCGGCACAUCGAUCCGGAAAACAAGAUGCGCCGCUUACCCAACGGUAUACAAAAAUAGAUGCUCGAAGAGAUGUGGUGACGAACUGUCCUGCAUGUCAUGCACCACGUAUCGUCCGAAGGUAAAUAACUCUAAGUUUGAGUGUGAAAACGAGGCAGUUUCUAAAUGCUGCAGUGAAUAUUGCAGAAAUUUGGACGAGCCAUCGUGUCAAGGUCCUGUUUUUCUUCAAAAAGCAGCAUGUGCUGAAGCACCCAGCUCUUGUGGAUGUGCCAAUGCGGAUGUUGCCCCUAGCUUCUGUUGCCCUACUAAUAACGAUGCAAAUAAGGAUCUUGGAUGCUGCACUAAUAGCUGCCCAAAUAAUGCUGAGGCACCUACACCUUGUUGCUUGGAACCGAAGGUUGUUGCGCGGAGAUCUUGUUGCUCUAUCUGUUCCAAAAAGGAAAAUCCAACUGUGCCUAGUACUAUAAAUUUACGCCUAACUAUUUGCACCACCAGCGGGAACUUGGUCCAACCGCCCACAAUCACAACAACAUUGGUCGAACCCGAUUGCAAAACAUGCAGUGUACCAAGAUGCCAGUUGGAGUCGAGAACCAAUAUCGCAGACAGAUGCCAGUUGGAGUCGAAAUGCCAUAGUGGACCAAGAUGCCAGUUGGCUUCAAGAACCAACAGUUGUGUGGCAGUAUCGGAUAUGCCGAAGCCUUGCUGCUCCCUCCAAAAAAUACCUUGUUGUUAUCCCAGUGGACUUACAUCGAAAUGUAUUAAGCCUUCAGUAUCGGAACAGCCCAACUGCGAUUGCUCUUGCCACAUGAUACCUUCGACUUGUCCCAUCAAAACGAAUUCUGCAUGCAACCCCGUGUGCUCGGGAAGUAAGUGUAACCUAACCAUAUCAAGACCCCCAUUGCCCUGUAACUCUAGAAGCAACUGUAGAGUAACCGUGUCGGAGUCCAUUCCACCUUCGCCUUGUUUAAGCUGUACGAGUAUUGCUUGUACGGAAAAUGACUUUAUGAGCGUACGCUCCAAUCAAUGCAAAGCAACAACUCCUAAAAGCAGCACUACCUGCAUAAAAAGCAUCCUUACGCCAAAGCCCAUACUUUCCACAUCUAAAUGCGAGCAACCGAAAACUGGCUGUAAGAAAACCAGUACCAUAUCUUUUAACAUAGUUGAGCCAAAUCAACAAUGCAGCAGAAAUAUCGCUGAUAGUCGUGCUUGCCUGGAAUGCACACCAUAUAGGGGCAGAGCUAUGGACGCCUGCCAAGAGUCUACCAAUCAGGAAGAAUCGUGUUGCUGCAAAUGUUUAAAGGAAAUCCAAUCGUGUAAAUCGGUUGCCCAGUGCACUGUAAAUUCUCCACAACCAGCAACUGUACCAAACUAUGACAAGGAGGAAUUGGUCUGCACCUCAAAUCCCCUGUGGAAAAAUCAAGAAGCAUGUGGCAAUUUGUGUUGUCCGAAGCUUAGCAGUGAUCAGAAUGCGAAUUGCGACUGCCGUCCAUCGUAUGUGGAGGAUCUGAAAAGAGAGCUUCUGGAAGCGUUGAGGAGCGAACAACGAUUGAAUGCUCAACUACAAUUUCAGCAGCCAACGCCGCAAAUUAGUCUGUUUCCAUGCGUUCCAGAGGCCCAGCCAUUCCCCAUAUGCCCAGCACGUGCCAACCCAUGCUGCCGUGCGGAACCCGGUCUGAAAUGCUGGGCACCGCUCUGAUCAGAGCCACACCAAUGAGCUGAAUAACUCGGAGACCCAAAGCCAUUUGUGUUAACAAAAAUAUAUCAAAACAUUUAUUAGAAAAUAAAGUCAACCCCCUUUUCUAGCUGA